AGAAUCAACGCUGGCGGCGUGCCUAACACAUGCAAGUCGCACGAGAAAGGGGCUUCGGCCCUGAGUAAAGUGGCGCACGGGUGAGUAACACGUGAAUCAUCUACCUCCGAGUGGGGAAUAACCUAGAGAAAUCUGGGCUAAUACCGCAUAACACUUACGAGUCAAAGCAGCAAUGCGCUUGGAGAGGAGUUCGCGGCAGAUUAGUUAGUUGGCGGGGUAAUGGCCCACCAAGACGAUGAUCUGUAUCCGGCCUGAGAGGGCGCACGGACACACUGGAACUGAAACACGGUCCAGACUCCUACGGGAGGCAGCAGUGGGGAAUUUUGCGCAAUGGGGGAAACCCUGACGCAGCAACGCCGCGUGGAGGAUGAAAUAUCUUGGUAUGUAAACUCCUUUCGAUGGGGAAGAUAAUGACGGUACCCAUAGAAGAAGCCCCGGCUAACUUCGUGCCAGCAGCCGC
rnacentral:rRNA from 1 species